UUCUCUUAGAGCAUGAUUAAUGCGGAUAUCUUAGGAUGAGGUUCUUAGUGUAAUAUAAAAAACAUUUAUUACUUAAAAGCUUAAAGAAUCUUUUAUAGUACGUUAAAAACCUCAUCGUAAGAGAUCUGCAUUAAUCAUAUUCUUAGAUCC